UACAGAGACUGCAAGCGUUAUUCGGAUUCACUGGGCGUAAAGGGUGCGCAGGCGGUUGUGUGUGUCAGGUGUGAAAGCCCGGGGCUUAACCCCGGAAUUGCGCCUGAAACUACAUGACUAGAGCAUUGGAGAGGGUAGCGGAAUUCACGGUGUAGCAGUGAAAUGCGUAGAUAUCGUGAGGAGCACCAGAGGCGAAGGCGGCUACCUGGACAAUUGCUGACGCUCAGGCACGAAAGCGUGGGGGAGCAAAAAGGG
rnacentral:rRNA from 1 species